rnacentral:rRNA from 1 species
GAAACUAACUAGGAUUCCCUUAGUAACGGCGAGUGAACCGGGAUGAGCUCAAAUUUAAAAUCUGGCGUCUUUCAGGCGUCCGAGUUGUAAUCUAUAGAGGCGUUUUCCGCGCCGGACCGCGUCCAAGUCUCUUGGAAUAGAGUAUCAAAGAGGGUGACAAUCCCGUACUUGACGCGACAACCGGUGCUCUGUGAUACGUUCUCAAUGAGUCGAGUUGUUUGGGAAUGCAGCUCUAAAUGGGUGGUAAAUUCCAUCUAAGGCUAAAUAUUGGCGAGAGACCGAUAGCGAACAAGUACCGUGAGGGAAAGAUGAAAAGCACUUUGGAAAGAGAGUUAAACAGCACGUGAAAUUGUUAAAAGGGAAACGAUUGAAGUCAGUCGUGUGAAAGGUAUUCAGCCGUCUCUGGCGGUGUAUUUGCCUUUCACGGGUCAACAUCAGUUUGAUCCGGUAGAAAAAGGCGGGAGGAAGGUGGCACCCUCGGGUGUGUUAUAGCCUCCUGUCAUAUGUGCCGGACCAGACUGAGGAACGCAGCUUGCCGCAAGGCCGGGGUUCGCCCACGUACAAGCUUAGGA